UACGGGGGGGGCAAGCGUUGUUCGGAAUUACUGGGCGUAAAGGGCUCGUAGGUGGCCAACUAAGUCAGACGUGAAAUCCCUCGGCUUAACCGGGGAACUGCGUCUGAUACUGGAUGGCUUGAGUUCGGGAGAGGGAUGCGGAAUUCCAGGUGUAGCGGUGAAAUGCGUAGAUAUCUGGAGGAACACCGGUGGCGAAGGCGGUUCUCUGGGCCUUACCUGACACUGAGGAGCGAAAGCGUGGGGAGCGAACAGG
rnacentral:rRNA from 1 species